ensembl:lncRNA
GUUAAAUUUCGCACUUGCUUGAAUAUUUUAAACUUAAUGUUUCCUGUGGUAAAAAUAUGAUUCUGCAAAUCAAGAGUCAUGAUGACAUGUAUGGGAUAUUACACACAAAAGAACAAUUCUAUCAGCCAGGUGACUGUGAGGAGGCAGGAUGACCUGAUGUCACUCACAUUGUUGCCUCUGCCUUUGAAGGACCCAGCGCUCCUCUCAGCCCUGGAAUGGGAUGGCUAAAUAGAUUCUCUGUGUUUACUGCUGGUCUCCCUCCCUCAGUGCACACUUCAAUUUGUCUAACAAUAAAAGGUGG